UAGGGAAUAUUGCUCAAUGGGGGAAACCCUGAAGCAGCAACGCCGCGUGGAGGAUGAAGGUUUUAGGAUUGUAAACUCCUUUUGUUAGAGAAGAUUAUGACGGUAUCUAACGAAUAAGCACCGGCUAACUCCGUGCCAGCAGCCGCGGUAAUACGGAGGGUGCAAGCGUUACUCGGAAUCACUGGGCGUAAAGAGUGCGUAGGCGGGGUAAUAAGUCAGAUGUGAAAUCCUGUAGCUUAACUACAGAACUGCAUUUGAAACUGUUACUCUGGAGUGUGGGAGAGGUAGGUGGAAUUCUUGGUG
rnacentral:rRNA from 1 species